rnacentral:rRNA from 1 species
AUUGAAUGCUGGCGGCAGGCUUAACACAUGCAAGUCGAGCGAGCGGCGGACGGGUGAGUAAUGUCUGGGAAACUGCCUGAUGGGGGGGGAUAACUACUGGAAACGGUAGCUAAUACCGCAUACCAUCAGAUGGGCCCAGAUGGGAUUAGCUGGUAGGUGGGGUAAUGGCUCACCUAGGCGACGAUCCCUAGCUGGUCUGAGAGGAGGACCAGCAAAACUGGAACUGAGACCCGGUCCAGACCCCUACGGGAGGAAGCAGUGGGGAAUAUUGCACAAUGGGCGCAAGCCUGAUGCAGCCAUGCCGCGUGUGUGAAGAAGGCCUUCGGGUUGUAAAGCACUUUCAGCGAGGAGGCGUUACUCGUAGAAGAAGCACCGGCUAACUCCGUGCCAGCAGCCGCGGUAAUUC